rnacentral:snRNA from 1 species
AGCUUUGCGCAGUGGCAGUAAUCGUAGCCAAUGAGGUUUAUCCGAGGCACGAUUAUUGCUAAUUGAAAACCUGUACUGUAAGAAUCUCUGCUGGAUUAUACGAUUAAUUACAAACUUCUAUAUUUUCCGUUUUUGGUCUUUUUAGGGCUGCACCCACAGCAUAUGGAA